AUUGAACGCUGGCGGCAUGCCUUACACAUGCAAGUCGAACGGCAGCAUGAUCUAGCUUGCUAGAUUGAUGGCGAGUGGCGAACGUGUGAGUAAUACAUCGGAACGUGCCCUGUAGUGGGGGAUAACUAGUCGAAAGAUUAGCUAAUACCGCAUACGACCUGAGGGUGAAAGUGGGGGACCGCAAGGCCUCAUGCUAUAGGAGCGGCCGAUGUCUGAUUAGCUAGUUGGUGAGGUAAAGGCUCACCAAGGCGACGAUCAGUAGCUGGUCUGAGAGGACGAUCAGCCACACUGGGACUGAGACACGGCCCAGACUCCUACGGGAGGCAGCAGUGGGGAAUUUUGGACAAUGGGCGAAAGCCUGAUCCAGCAAUGCCGCGUGUGUGAAGAAGGCCUUCGGGUUGUAAAGCACUUUUGUCCGGAAAGAAAUGGCUCUGGUUAAUACCUGGGGUCGAUGACGGUACCGGAAGAAUAAGGACCGGCUAACUACGUG
rnacentral:rRNA from 1 species